rnacentral:ncRNA from 1 species
AAUGGAUAGCGCUAGUGCCCGCCGGCAACGGCGGGCGGACGAGGAAGAGGAGUAUCGAACAUGUCAGCGGAUGCCUCUCGGCAGCUUCAGUCGUUACAUGGCGGAAAAGCAUUGCGGCAACGGAAUGGACAAUGUCGUC